rnacentral:rRNA from 1 species
CCUACGGGAGGCAGCAGUAGGGAAUAUUGCUCAAUGGGGGAAACCCUGAAGCAGCAACGCCGCGUGGAGGAUGAAGGUUUUCGGAUUGUAAACUCCUUUUGUUAGAGAAGAAAAUGACGGUAUCUAACGAAUAAGCACCGGCUAACUCCGUGCCAGCAGCCGCGGUAAUACGGAGGGUGCAAGCGUUACUCGGAAUCACUGGGCGUAAAGAGGGCGUAGGCGGGAUAGCAAGUCAGAUGUGAAAUCCUAUGGCUUAACCAUAGAACUGCAUUUGAAACUGUUAUUCUAGAGUAUGGGAGAGGUAGGUGGAAUUCUUGGUGUAGGGGUGAAAUCCGUAGAGAUCAAGAGGAAUACUCAUUGCGAAGGCGACCUGCUAGAACAUAACUGACGCUGAUGCGCGAAAGCGUGGGGAGCAAACAGGAUUAGAUACCCUAGUAGUC